GGACCCGCACAAGCGGUGGAGCAUGUGGUUUAAUUCGAUGCAACGCGAAAAAACCUUACCUACUCUUGACAUACUUGGGAGCUCUUGUAAUGAGAGUGUGCCUUUUGGAACCAAGAUACAGGUGCUGCAUGGCUGUCGUCAGCUCGUGUCGUGAGAUGUUCCGUUAAGUCGGAUAACGAGCGCAACCCUUACCCCUUAUUUGCCAGCGAUUCGGUCGGGAACUAUAAGGGACUGCCGGUGAUAAACCGGAGGAAGGUGAGGACGACGUCAAGUAUCAUGGCCCUUACAGUAGGGCUACACACGUGCUACAAUGGGGAAUACAGACGGACGCUAAGCCGCGAGGUGGUG
rnacentral:rRNA from 1 species